GGACUACAAGGGUUUCUAAUCCUGUUUGCUCCCCACGCUUUCGCGCCUCAGCGUCAGUUGUGGUCCAGAUAGCCGCCUUCGCCACCGGUGUUCUUCCCAAUAUCUACGAAUUUCACCUCUACACUGGGAAUUCCACUAUCCUCUCCCACACUCUAGCCUCGAAGUAUCGAGCGCAAUUCCUGGGUUAAGCCCAGGCAUUUCACGCCCGACUAGCGAAGCCGCCUACGCGCCCUUUACGCCCAGUAAUUCCGAACAACGCUAGCCCCCUUCGUAUUACCGCGGCGGCUGGCAC
rnacentral:rRNA from 1 species